rnacentral:rRNA from 1 species
GGGAUCGAUUAGCCAUGCGAGUCGAGAGGGUUCGGCCCUCGGCAGACUGCUCAGUAACACGUGGAUAACCUAACCUUAGGUGGAAGAUAACCUCGGGAAACUGAGAAUAAUAUUCCAUAGAUCUAGGAUGCUGGAAUGCAUCUAGAUUGAAAGUUCCGACGCCUAAGGAUGGGUCUGCGGACCAUCAGGUUGUAGUCAGGGUAAAGACCUGACUAGCCUACGACGGAUAUGGGUUGUGAGAGCAAUAGCCCAGAGACGAUAUCUGAGACACGAUAUCGGGCCCUACGGGGCGCAGCAGGCGCGAAAUCUUCACAAUGUGCGAAAGCACGAUGAGGGGAUCCCAAGUGCUGGUACGUAAGUGUCAGCUGUUUCUUAGUCUAAAAAACUGAGAGAGUAAGGGCUGGGUAAGACGGGUGCCAGCCGCCGCGGUAAUACCUGCAGCUCAAGUGGUGGCCGCUAUUAUUGGGCCUAAAACGUCCGUAGCCUGUUUAGUAAAUGCUUGGGUAAAUUGUGUAGCUUAACUAUACGAAUACCGGGUAGACUGCUAAACUUGGGACCGGGAGAGGCUAGAGGUACUCCUGGGGUAGAGGUGAAAUUCUGUAAUCCUAGGGGGACCACCAGUGGCGAAGGCGUCUAGCUAGAACGGGUCUGACGGUGAGGGACGAAGCCCUGGGGCGCAAACCGGAUUAGAUACCCGGGUAGUCCAGGGUGUAAACGCUGCUUGCUUGAUGUUAGUUGGGCUCC